rnacentral:rRNA from 1 species
UACGUAGGGGGCUAGCGUUGCUCGGAAUUACUGGGCGUAAAGGGCGCGUAGGCGGAUAUUUAAGUCAGGGGUGAAAGCCCGGGGCUCAACCUCGGAACUGCCUUUGAUACUGGAUAUCUUGAGUUCGGGAGAGGUGAGUGGAAUGCCGAGUGUAGAGGUGAAAUUCGUAGAUAUUCGGCGGAACACCAGUGGCGAAGGCGACUCACUGGCCCGAUACUGACGCUGAGGCGCGAAAGCGUGGGGAGCAAACAGG